rnacentral:rRNA from 1 species
CGGACACGGCCGCUAAUGUCGCUAGAAUCCCGUGGGGCCGCCUGGCCCUGCGGGGAAAUCCCGGGGCGACCCGGACGGAGCGCGAUGGGCCCGCCUCCGAUUAGUUGUUGGCGGGGCAGCGGCCCACCAAAGCGACCAUCGGUACCCGGCCUGAGAGGGCAGACGGCCACACUGGGACUGAUACACGGCCCACACUCCUGCGGGAGGCAUCGCUGGGGAAUAUUGCACAAUGGGGGGAACCCUGAUGCACCGACGCCGCGUGGGUGAAGGAGCACCUCGGUGCGUAAAGCCCUAUCGGCAGGGAAGAAACAGACAGUACCUGACUAACAAGCCCCGGCUAACUACGUGCCACCAGCCGCGGUAAUACGUAGGGGGCAAGCGUUAUCCCGAUUCACUGGGUGUAAAGGGAGCGUACAGCGCGACGCAAGUCUGGAGUGAAAGCCCGGGGCCCAACCCCGGCACUGCUCUGGAAACUGCGUCACUGGAGUACGGGACGGGUACGCCGAAUUCCUGGUGUAGCGGUAAAUGCGUACAUAUCAGGAGGAACACCGGCGGCCAACCGCGGCCGGCUGGAACGGGACUGAAUUUCGAGACUCGAGAAGGGUGGGGAG